AGGCGGUGCAGGAGAAUUAUAACACUAGCAAGUUUUUUGUUUACGCUGCUGAGAUAGCUGCUCCAUGUCCUUUCCAACCCAAGUACAAGCUUGCAGACCUUGCCGAGAAACUUUGGUACGAAGAUAGCCUUCGCCAAAAAAGCCUUUGUGGUCAGAAGCUCAAACCCAUUCUGAAUGAAAACAAGGAAGCUGCCGUACCAGUAAGGACUCUGUUUAUUGCCUCUUUAUCUCGCCAUUCAACUGAAAUAUCAGAUAU